GACGAACGCUGGCGGCGUGCCUAAUACAUGCAAGUCGAACGCAUUUUCUUUCACCGUAGCUUGCUACACCGAAAGAAAAUGAGUGGCGAACGGGUGAGUAACACGUGGGUAACCUGCCCAUCAGCGGGGGAUAACACUUGGAAACAGGUGCUAAUACCGCAUAAUUCCAUUUACCGCAUGGUAGAUGGAUGAAAGGCGCUUUUGCGUCACUGAUGGAUGGACCCGCGGUGCAUUAGCUAGUUGGUGGGGUAACGGCCUACCAAGGCUGCGAUGCAUAGCCGACCUGCGAGGGUGAUCGGCCACACUGGGACUGAGACACGGCCCAGACUCCUACGGGAGGCAGCAGUAGGGAAUCUUCGGCAAUGGACGCAAGUCUGACCGAGCAACGCCGCGUGAGUGAAGAAGGUUUUCGGAUCGUAAAACUCUGUUGUUAGAGAAGAACAAGGAUGAGAGUGGAAAGUUCAUCCCUUGACGGUAUCUAACCAGAAAGCCACGGCUAACUACGUG
rnacentral:rRNA from 1 species